AAGAAAGAAAGAGACAGGGAAAAGCAGGGCUUGAACCUUGAAGGAAGCAGCUUUGUUUUUCUGCCUGGGCUGGCUGCUGCUGCUGCGUCGCUCUCCUCUCCCUCUCUUUCUCCCUCCAAAGCCAACACCGUCACAUCCCACUAAAAACAGCUUCAGGUAAACUCCCCAAAGUCCAACUCCUUACUUGUUUAGAUUAAAUUAGAUUAAAAGCUUAAAAAAGACGAAUUCUUUUUUGCUCUCUCAGUUAGUAUCUGAUCAUGGGAUCAAUUUGUAUCCUUUUCUUUCUCUAUUUUUUCCCAAUUAAAUACUGCUUACUGCUGUUUCUUGCAAAAGGGUCAUGUAAAGUUUGCUUCUUUUGAAUCCAAAAUCUUUUAGUUUUGGUUUUUGAGUCAGAUUUUGAUGUUUAUGGUAACUUUCUAAAUGAAAUCUGGGUGUUUUGAUUGACAAGUGUAGAUUUUUAGUUUCAAUGUCACUGUUUUAGUUACUUUUGUUUGUAGCAAAUAAGUAUUUGCUACAAACUCUCCUAUAUAGAAUUUGGAUUUAGGGUUUUGGAUGCGAGGGUGUGGUGCUGCUUGAGCUUGUUGAUUGUCUUCACUUGAAAAAUAUGCAAAUUUGGAUAUCUUGGUCGGUUUGUUUGUCGAUGAUAAUGCCACAUUAUGGUGCUGUUUAGUCCAGGAAUCAUAUUGAGGAACUGUGUUUAAUAACGAAGGGGAACCUAGAAUGUAUGGUAGAGCAGGUCUUGAGCGUUUUAAAAAAGCUCAAUCUACUGAACCCUUCUCAGUCCCUGUCAAUUCUGCUCCCAAGACCACUACCCAACCUGCUGUUAAAACUGUUUCGCAACCCUCAGUUCAGUAUUCACAAUCUAAGACACAAUCCCAGUUCCGAGACCAACCUUAUGUUGCUCAAAAACCUGCUGCGCCGGAGGCCGGACCAUUGCUAGGGCAUACACAGCCGGUGACGCAGGUUGGAGGAGGGCAGUCAACUUGGCAGCCACCAGACUGGGCGAUUGAGCCUCGUCCUGGAGUUUAUUAUCUUGAGGUUUUGAAGGACGGAGAGGUUCUUGAUCGCAUUAGUUUGGAUAGGCGGAGGCAUAUCUUUGGGAGGCAAAUCCACACUUGUGAUUUUGUGCUUGAUCAUCAGUCCGUUUCACGCCAACAUGCUGCUGUCAUUCCUCACAAGAAUGGAAGCAUUUUUGUAAUUGAUUUGGGGUCUGCACAUGGUACUUUUGUGGCUAAUGAACGUUUGACUAAAGAUACCCCUGUUGAACUGGAAGCGGGGCAGUCUUUGCGGUUUGCUGCAUCAACACGAACUUAUAUCUUGAGAAAGAAUGAUGCAGCUCUUUUUCCUCGUCCUCCACCUCCCUCAGAAAUUAACCUACCACCCCCUCCUGAUCCAUCUGAUGAAGAAGCUGUUGUAGCAUAUAAUACUUUUCUGAAUCGUUAUGGUCUAACUAAGCCUGAUCAACCAACUAAAUCGAGUGAAUCAAGUGGCUCAUUAAGCAGAAGACAUGAUGACCAGCAGUUGGGGAGAGCUGCUAAGAGAAUAAAAAAGACAAGGGUUGCUUUCAGGGAUCAAGUUGGGGGUGAGCUGGUUCAAGUUGUUGGUUUUUCAGAUGGUGCAGAUGUAGAAACAGAGCCUGGUCCAAUAGGUGUAAAAGAAGGAAGCCUUGUUGGAAAAUACGAGUCUCUUGUACAGGUUACAGUAAUACCCAAAGGUAAGGAACAAUUCUCAGCAAAGGAACAUAAUGCUUCCCAAAAAGGAGUGACUAGUAGAUUACAAGAAGUCUUGAAUAAGGUCAAAACUACUACAAAAAGUGGGAUGUAUGAUGAUCUUUAUGGAGAAUCAUUUGCUGGAAAAGUGGGCUCUUCCUGGGCAUAUUCUUCUGAUAGUUCUGUUGGUAAUCUAGCUUCUCCAACAAAAGAUGGCCAGGGGAAUGCUAUUGGUUCUUUGAGUGGAAAACCUGAAAAUAACCCGAGCGCUUAUGAUGACAACGAUGAUGAUGAUUUAUUUGGUGACUAGUUGAAGUGAGGGAGCAUGUUGCUUAUUCUAAUUCAUUUGUUUUGUGCACUGGAAAGCAGCAGUGUGUUUGACAUUGGUGCCACACGAUGUCCUGAGGUAACAGGUCCUACUUGCUGUGCUUGUACUUUGCAUCCUGGUGACAAGGAAACUCCUGUUAAUUUGUUUAAGGUACUGACAGUAGAACAAUCUCUUAUCUCCCGAAACAGCAUGGGCUUCCUCGACUACUGUCAUUUCCUCAUGUUCUCAAACUCCUUGGCGGCCCUGGAAAUUGUUUUGAAUGGCACAAGGAAAGGAUCCCCGCAAUUCUCUUCAGAGAGCCAAUCCAAUUAUGCCAAAGUUUUUGGGCUAUUGCUUAACGCAAGGAGCAAUAGCCCAGAGCCAGCAUUCGUUUUUUAGGGCAAUACACUGAGAAGGCCCCGUGGAUACUGCUUAUAGAUGCAUAGAUAUGACAUGGGAUUCAAAUUUCAUUGAUGAAGAAAGAAAUGCGAGGCCUACUUGCCACCAUAGACUAUAGAAGACAAUGCCCGGUGGCAUCAACUAAUAUUGACUGCCCAGAUGUGGGAAGAAAGGCAACUCUACUCUUCUAUGGGACAGUAUUGUAGGUCCAUACGAUAUAGAGUAGAGAUUGACUAGUGGCAUUCUUAAACCCUAUGUUUCUUACCUAUGCCUAACCUUUCAUUGAAACCUAGGUUGACACAUAACUUCUUCAACAGUCUAGUUAUCAUGGCCUCUAAGAAUUUUUUUAUUUUCUUGAAGGCUUUUCUUAUUGAUGAUACAUCCAUGAUUGAUUCAUUUUAAUUUGCUGUUCAUGAAUAAAUUUUUCUUGGAAUCAA